rnacentral:rRNA from 1 species
GAUGAACGCUAGCGGGAGGCUUAACACAUGCAAGUCGAGGGGUAACAUGAGGUAGCAAUACUUUGAUGACGACCGGCGCACGGGUGAGUAACGCGUAUGUAACCUACCUUGUACAGGGGGAUAGCCCGGAGAAAUUCGGAUUAAUACCCCAUAAUGAUAUCUGAAGGCAUCUUUAGAUAUUUAAAGUUUCGACGGUACGAGAUGGGCAUGCGUUACAUUAGCUAGUUGGUAAGGUAACGGCUUACCAAGGCUGCGAUGUCUAGGGGUCCUGAGAGGGUGAUCCCCCACACUGGAACUGAGACACGGACCAGACUCCUACGGGAGGCAGCAGUGAGGAAUAUUGGUCAAUGGGCGUAAGCCUGAACCAGCCAUCCCGCGUGAAGGAAGAAGGCGCUAUGCGUCGUAAACUUCUUUUCCGGAGGAAUAAAAUUUCGUACGUGUACGGGACUGAAGGUACUCCGGGAAUAAGCAUCGGCUAACUCCGUGCCAGCAGCCGCAGUAAAAC